rnacentral:misc_RNA from 1 species
UCCGUUGGUGAACCAGCGGAGGGAUCAUUACAGAGUUUACAACUCCCAAACCCCUAUGUGAACAUACCAAUCGUUGCUUCGGCGAACCGCCCCGGCGUCCGGUCAGCCUCGUGCUGGCCGCGGCCCGGACCCAGGUGGCCGCCGGAGACCCCAAAACUCUUUUGUAUUUACAGUAUCUUCUGAAUCCGCCGCAAGGCAAAACAAAUGAAUCAAAACUUUCAACAACGGAUCUCUUGGUUCUGGCAUCGAUGAAGAACGCAGCGAAAUGCGAUAAGUAAUGUGAAUUGCAGAAUUCAGUGAAUCAUCGAAUCUUUGAACGCACAUUGCGCCCGCCAGCAUUCUGGCGGGCAUGCCUGUUCGAGCGUCAUUUCAACCCUCGACUUCCCCUUGGGGAAAUCGGCUGUUGGAGACGGCGAGGCCUGGCCUCGCCCCUCCCAAAUCCAGUGGCGGCCCGUCCGCGGCGACCUCUGCGUAGUACUUACACCUCGCACCGGAACCCCGACGCGGCCACGCCGUAAAACAACCCACUUCUGAACGUUGACCUCGGAUCAGGUAGGAAUACCCGCUGAACUUAAGCAUAUCAAUAAGCGGAGGAAAAGAAACCAACAGGGAUUGCCCCAGUAACGGCGAGUGAAGCGGCAACAGCUCAAAUUUGAAAUCUGGUCCCCAGGGCCCGAGUUGUAAUUUGUAGAGGAUGCUUUUGACGAGGUGCCUUCCGAGUUCCCUGGAACGGGACGCCAUAGAGGGUGAGAGCCCCGUCUGGUCGGAUACCAAGUCUCUGUAAAGCUCCUUCGACGAGUCGAGUAGUUUGGGAAUGCUGCUCAAAAUGGGAGGUAUAUGUCUUCUAAAGCUAAAUAUUGGCCAGAGACCGAUAGCGCACAAGUAGAGUGAUCGAAAGAUGAAAAGCACUUUGAAAAGAGGGUUAAAAAGUACGUGAAAUUGUUGAAAGGGAAGCGCCUAUGACCAGACUUGGGCCCGGUGAAUCAUCCAGCGUUCUCGCUGGUGCACUUUGCCGGGCACAGGCCAGCAUCAGUUUGGCGCGGGGGAUAAAGGCUUUGGGAAUGUGGCUCCCUCGGGAGUGUUAUAGCCCAUUGUGUAAUACCCUGCGCCGGAC